GAACGACUCUCGGCAACGGAUAUCUCGGCUCUCGCAUCGAUGAAGAACGUAGCGAAAUGCGAUACUUGGUGUGAAUUGCAGAAUCCCGUGAACCAUCGAGUUUUUGAACGCAAGUUGCGCCCUAGGCCAUCCGGCUGAGGGCACGCCUGCCUGGGCGUCAC
rnacentral:rRNA from 1 species